rnacentral:rRNA from 1 species
UGGGGAAUAUUGGACAAUGGGCGCAAGCCUGAUCCAGCCAUGCCGCGUGUGUGAGGAAGGCCUUUUGGUUGUAAAGCACUUUAAGCGAGGAGGAGGCUACUUGGAUUAAUACUCUAAGAUAGUGGACGUUACUCGCAGAAUAAGCACCGGCUAACUCUGUGCCAGCAGCCGCGGUAAUACAGAGGGUGCGAGCGUUAAUCGGAUUUACUGGGCGUAAAGCGUGCGUAGGCGGCUUCUUAAGUCGGAUGUGAAAUCCCUGAGCUUAACUUAGGAAUUGCAUUCGAUACUGGGAAGCUAGAGUAUGGGAGAGGAUGGUAGAAUUCCAGGUGUAGCGGUGAAAUGCGUAGAGAUCUGGAGGAAUAUCGAUGGCGAAGGCAGCCAUCUGGCCUAAUACUGACGCUGAGGUACGAAAGCAUGGGGAGCAAACAGG